GUGCCAUUACACCAUACACGUUACUACUUUGCACCAUACACCUUACACAUUACACCAUAAUGCAAUUUAAUUUCAAAGAAAGCGUGCGACUACAAAAUUAUUUAUUUAUUUUAAAAAACGAAUUUUGAUCACAAUAUUGUAAAUUAAAGUCUUAAAUUAAAAACCAGUUCUUUGUGUCAGUUUAUGUCAUUUUGUAAAUUCAUUUUAUUUUUAACCAAAACAUACAUCAAUUUUUGCAUAGUUUUAAAUGUCGUACACCAUUCAUUCACACCAUUCCCGAUCGCACGUUACACCAUUACAUCAUUCCCCUUACACCAUACACCAUAGCACCAUACACCUUCUACCAUUGCACCAUAUGCCAUACACCAUUACACCAUACACGUUUUUUUUGGGAAGUUUACACCAUCCAAGGGCUGUACUGUUGUUUAAUUUUUUGUCUUUUUUUAUUUUUUGCAAUGGCGUUGUCAGUUUAUUUUUACUCAUGAAUUUGAAUCUCCAUUUUGGUAUCUUUCGCCUCUCUUUUAUAAAAAAAAAUUGUGAAGAUGAAAAAGUGGACUAGAGAGGAAAUAUUGGAAUAAAAUUGACAACUAGAUCAAUUUUGGUCUGUUAUAGUAAUUUUUUUUAAAUUUAAUCACAUGCAGUAAAAACUGUUGUGUAAAUAUUGCCAAAACUAUAAACAUUGUGUACAUAAAAUGAAUAUAAUUAUAUAUACAAAUGUAUAUAGGAAUAUGAGAAACAUGAAACAUAGAAAAAAAAAAAUUUAGGAAAUUUUGUGGUAUGUUUUUCUGUUGAUAAAGAUAUAUGAAUUAUUUUUAUGAUUUUGUCCUUCAGGGAAUUAAGUAUAGAUGGUGGUUAGUUUUCGUCAAAUAAAUUCCCAGCUUUUGUAUCUAGCAAUUAACCAUGAAGGAACAAACAUGUGACAAUGUGUGUUUUCUAACCUUUUGAACUUUUUGUCGUUAAGAUAGACUGAUAACCAAUUUAACUCUUAAAAUGUAUGCAAAAAGGUUGAAUUGUGUACAUUUCUUAUGCCAAAGAUUGUUCCCUGUUUUUGCAGAAUAAAAAUCAAUCAACAUUUUCGGGCUUUUUCUGAUUUUUAUAUGCAAGGGACCAAUCAGAAAUCCCCAUUAUAAGUAAUAUCUGGUUAUAACGUUCAGAGGACCAAUCAUAAUCACCAUUAUUAGAUACUGUCUAGUUAUCGUGUUCUAUAGGAACCAACCUGAAAUCACCAAUAUUUGAAAAAGUCUGGUUAUAAGUUCUAAGGAUCAAUCAGAAAUCUCAUUUAUGAGACAAUGUUUUGGUAUUGUUCAAUUGACCAAUUAUAAAUCAUUUAAAAAUAUCCAAAUGUCUAUGUUUUGUUUUGUACGUGAAAAGAAAUAACCUGCUUGUUAGAUUUAAGAUAAGUUGGAAUAUUUAAUAUGUAGUUUAAGUUAUCACGUUCUUUCAGAGCUGAUCACCCUAAUACCUUUUUAACCUGAUUCAGGCUGUGGUAGCAAAAAAUAUUGUAAAAAACGGAAACGUGAUGAUAACGACUGGACUACAGAUAUGAAUAAGAAGAUAUGGUAUGAGUGUCAAUGAGACAACUAUCCAUCCAAGUCAACAAUUCAAACAGGAAAACCAACGGUCCAAUCUAUAUAAAAAACGAGAAACAAGAGAAACACUUAUGAACCACACCAACAAACGACAACCACUGAACAACAGGCGCCUGACUUAGUACAGGUGCAUAAAAAUGCAGCGGGUUUAAAUAUUUUAACAAGCGCCAACCUUUAUCCUAACCUGAAACAGUGGUGUAACAUUACAACAUAAAACAAGCACAAUACAAUAUCUAUAGGUCAAAGUACGGACUUUGGAUAGGUACAUAAUGUGGCGGGUUAGAUAUGUUUGUUAGCGCUCAACCUUCCUUCCCCAUCCCCAAUCUGGGACUGUCACAUUUGUGUGAAAGGACGAUAUAAAAACGAACUGUCUAGAUUAGUUCGAACAGGAUUGAUGCAUAGAUCAGUUCCAAGUACAAAUUAAUACAAAACAAAUAAGUCAAUAGGCAUGAAUACCAUUAUAAAGUGUACUCACAUUGUGACUGAAAUCUCGUUCAACGUCAAAUUUCAACUAAGACCAUAGUCUCUUUAACUAGACUACUUUUUACAAAUAUGUUCAACAUUAACAUUUGUGUGGGGUUAGAUAAUUUACUUUUCCUUGAAUAGAUAGCUAUUUGAAUCAACCAUUGGGCAUAAAGCAAACACUCAAUCAAUCAAUGUUUAGGUCAGUUCCCUUCAGGUUAAAGAGGUAAAGCCAAUGUUCCCUUUUCUAUACUAAGCGCAAACAAAUUAGAAAAAGUAUGAGUCACCAGUAUUUUUUAAGCUACAGAUUUUGAAUGCGCUAUACUUAAACAAACUUUGUUUUAUAGAAAGAAAAACUGAACGAUAGAAUUUUAAGAUAAAAUAUGAGAAGACAUCUCUUAUAAUAAGCUUUCAGAAAAUAAAAAAAACGGGGUCACUGAACUCUGGUUUUUUGAUUCAGCCAUGCUGGAUCUAUGUGAUCACUCUGGUUUUGGAGAUGGUGCAAAAUUCAAUGUUGAAGACAUGUCAUGAAAAUAAUUAUGUGUUUCUAUGACUUGCAGAAACUUUAUACACCAUUUUAAUCAUCAACUGCCAACUUUUAAUAUGUUAUUUGUCUUUAAAUUAAGAAAAGGUUGGGCGAACAACUUCUUUAUUUUAGAUAAACACUUGUACUAGUAUAUAGUUCCUGUGUAAAUCAAAAUUGAUAUUAAAUUGCCAUUUAUUAAUUAAUGUCACAUGAAUGUGGAAAAUGUGAUUUAUCAAAUUUUAGCCGUUGAUAAGAAUAAUAAAAGUGUUUUAUCAGUAUCUUAUGUUCCUGUGAGCCAUUGAAUAAAAUUUGGUUCAAGAUGUGUAUUCAUAUCAGAGUUGAUUCCCACACUUUUUUAAAUGCUAUUAUUCCCAUUCUUGCAUUAGGCAAAUCAAAUUGUUGGUACAAUACCAGUAUGAUGGACAGCUGCCACGAUUUUCAAACAAUUACACUCAAAGGUGUAAGUAUUAUUUGGAUUAAACUCCACUCAAAUGCAGUCUUAAUUGACCACAGUUAUAUUAAUAUAUCAUGACAGUUGAUAAUCAUACAGGUAUUGAGGUCAAGAAUUUGUGUAUUCAAUUUAUCACACAUCUUACUGAAUACACCAAAUUUUGACCUCAAUAGUUGUAAAAUCAGUGUCAUAAUCUUCUGACAUAAGUUAAUAAUUAAGGUCUAUUUAAGUUACAAUUAUCUCUCUUACAUGUCUUACCUCAGCAUUUUCUGUCACAAAUUUAUUUGUAUAUUCCCCAUUAUAAUGCUAUUUUACAAUAAUUGGAAUAAAUUCAGCAUGAGGUAUUUGUAUAUUCCCCAUUAUAAUGCUAGUUAACAGUAAUUGGAAUAAAUUCAGCAUGAGGUAUUUGUAUAUUCCCCAUUAUAAUGCUAGUUAACAGUAAUUGGAAUAAAUUCAGCAUGAGGUAUUUGUAUAUUCCCCAUUAUAAUGCUAGUUAACAGUAAUUGGAAUAAAUUCAGCAUGAGGUAUUUGUAUAUUCCCCAUUAUAAUGCUAGUUAACAGUAAUUGGAAUAAAUUCAGCAUGAGGUAUUUGUAUAUUCCCCAUUAUAAUGCUAGUUAACAGUAAUUGGAAUAAAUUCAGCAUGAGGUAUUUGUAUAUUCCCCAUUAUAAUGCUAGUUAACAGUAAUUGGAAUAAAUUCAGCAUGAGGUAUUUGUAUAUUCCCCAUUAUAAUGCUAGUUAACAAUAAUUGGAAUAAAUUCAGCAUGAGGUAUUUGUAUAUUCCCCAUUAUAAUGCUAGUUAACAGUAAUUGGAAUAAAUUCAGCAUGAGGUAUUUGUAUAUUCCCCAUUAUAAUGCUAUUUAACAGUAAUUGGAAUAAAUUCAGCAUGAGGUAUUUGUAUAUUCCCCAUUAUAAUGCUAGUUAACAGUAAUUGGAAUAAAUUCAGCAUGAGGUAUUUGUAUAUUCCCCAUUAUAAUGCUAUUUAACAGUAAUUGGAAUAAAUUCAGCAUGAGGUAUUUGUACAUGUGUAUUUGAAUACAGGAAAUGUAUUUUUUCCUUAAUGAAGAAUGAACACCUAUUUAGAUAAAAAGCUAAUUAUUUAUUUUUGUUGUUGCUGAGAAAGUGCAUUUUUAAUGGCUCUUUUUGGAAAUUAUUAAGCCAAUUAUUAUUAAUGGCAUAUAAAAAGUAUGCUACAGUCAUUUGAAGAUUUCCCUUAACAUUCUUGUCCAAAAUCAUUGAAUUUCAAAUGUUUCUAAAAAAAGAUGUAAAAAAAUCUGACAGUGUCUUGAAUUGAAAUACCAAAAUAAUUUGCAUUAAUCUUUUGGCAAUAGAAUGGAAAUUUUACAGUGAGAUUAUGGAAAUGAAGAUAAUAAAAUAAUUAUUGAAAGUGUGGUCAGAAAAAAAUGCCAGACUAGCUACAAAAUUGGCUGAAUCACAACAUCCAUGAUGCUUUGAUUUUUGUGUUUUUUUCUAUUAAACAAACUGGGUAAAUUUAAUUAACGUUUACAACAUAUUCCUUUUAUAAAAGUUAGAAUAUAUGAGUUCUUUCCCCUUAUAUGGCUAAGUUGAAUUAUUUUAUUGUAUUUCUUAAAGCAGUAUAAGAUUAAACACAUAUCUUUUUUUCAUUAAGAUGAAAAAACUUACAAAUGAACUACAUUUACAUUCCACUCUUAUUUGCACAAUUCAUUAAAAAUCUAUACCGAUUGUUAUCUACUAUUUUACAAUCCAAGAUGGCGGAAUACUCCCGAUCUACCUUAAAGCGAGUGAAUUUAAAUUGACCACCGUAGAUUUGGACUCCCACUUUAAAAACAUUGAAUGCUUGAUCAGGGCAGACAUGUUGCUUAAGAACAGGCCGCAUUGGUUUUCUCCCAAUACAAAGUAUCAAAUUAAAUAAAAAUUCGGAAUUUCACAAGUUUUUAAAGGACAAUACAUAGGUCAAUAUCUGAUAAGAAAAAAUUGAAUGUUUUCUUCUUUAUUUUAUAAAAAAUAAAAAUGUCCGAAUGAAUCAUACAUUUUCAGUGUUUAUGUAUAUUUAGACAUUUAUGAUUUUGUGACAUGCUCAGAAAUACAACAUGCGAGUUGUUAGAAUCUCAAGUUGCCCACAUCAGGCUGUGAUACUGUUAAAUUUAGUAAAAGACUUCUUUUGAAUUUGACCAGGUGAUGCAUAAAUUAAGGAGAAAUUGUCCAUAUCUCUUAAUCGGACUGAUUGGUUUUUGUUUGCUAAACGUCAAGUGGCAAAUAUAUCAUGCAUAUUCAGUACGAGAACAAAUUAACAAUGAUUUUAAAAGAUAUGAAAUUUAAAGGAGGUAGGAUAUAUCAAUUAAUUAAAUACAAUAAAAUCAAAAAGAAGAAUGACAGAAAGACAACAAAACACUACACAAAAAACAAAUUCAAAUAAUAUGAAUAUAACCCCUACCAACAUGAUUUUUUUUAACAUGCAGAUUCCAAGGUAACGGCACGCAUAAAAACAAAUCCCCCUACCUGGACGCAUAUUUUGGUCAAGACGACCAGUCCGUGCUUUUACACCUGACUAGACAACUAAGAAUGAUUGCAUAUUAGGCUUGACUUUUAUCCGGGAAGGAUUCAAAACUUUCUUAUUUAGCGUAUCAAUUAUGAUUUUGCAAAUUGUCGGUCGCCUAUCAUUUUGAAUCCCAUGAUUAAAGUUAAUUGAACAGUGUUUGGUGAUACUGGCUAUUCCUAUAUUAUGACAGACCAGCUUGUUCCUAACUCAGAUUGGCUUAUGUCUUCAGUACUUAUGCGCCUACAUAUCGAAUUUAGAUAGGAAUGGCAUUACAUUAUAACUUAUGGUAAAUUCACCAAAAUCUUUAAAUUAUAGAAUGUUUAAAGAAAAUUUUGAGUUUAAGAAUGGUCUUAAUAGAAACAGGUCGGUGGAAUGUUGAAGUAUAUGUUUCUAAUGCAAUAUUAACUAUUUUGGUGUUGAAAACCAUAUUCUAGAAUGAUAAACAUUUGCAAUAAAUAAGAAAAAGCUAACGGAUGAAAAUGUAUUGCAAAGACCAAAUAUUUUGAAAUGCAAAGAAAUUAUGAGUUGAACAGGAAAGUUUAAAUAAUUAAAAAAAUGGUAGAUUUAUAUGAUUAAUAAAUAAAUCAGUUGUUUUCAAGAACAUAACAACACUUCCCCUUCUGGUUUAUAUAGUACAUAUAUGUGAGUUUUGGUAUUUACAGAUAAUUCUUGUUUAUAUUGUACAUAUAUGUGAGCUAAUGUGUUUACUGAUAAUUUUUGUAUGUAUUGUACAUAUAUGAGAUUUUUGGUGUUUACAUGUAAUUCUUGUUUAUAUUGUACAUAUAUUUGAGUUUUGGUGUUUACUUAUAAUUCUUGUAUAUAUUAUACAUGUAUGUGAGCUUUGGUGUUUACUUAUGAAUUCUUGUUUAUAUUGUACAAAUAUGUGAAAUUUGGUGUUUACUUAUAUAUUUUUGGAUAUAUUGUACAUAUAUGUGUUUCUUUGUAUUUAGGGAGCAACCAUUUAACUUCAAGGGGGGGUAUGGUUUUUGGAAAAUGACGCUAUCAGCGGCAUGUUUCCGAUACCAUUGACCAGAACUAACGGAAGUUGAUUAUGCCUCCGCCUACCGCACUCGGUUUCAUAUUUACUAUUUUACAUACUAACUGGAAUCUGCUUGUAUUACGCUACACUCGAACAAAGUCUUUGUUAAAGUGUUGUAGUCGGACGGGAACCAGUUUACAUACGUUAUUUUAUUUACCAAAAAGAUAUCUUGACCUGUCCAUAUGUUUUUUGUUAUUAAAUGGUAUUUGGAGCUAUCCCUUUGUUAUAUUUUUCAUAUUUAUUCGAGCUUUCACUUUUAUGCACAUGUCUUACAAUCGUAAACAAUCGGUAUGUAUACAUGAUAAAUAGAUCCGUUUUG